rnacentral:rRNA from 1 species
CAGAGACUGCAAGCGUUAUUCGGAUUCACUGGGCGUAAAGGGUGCGCAGGCGGUCGUGUGUGUCAGAUGUGAAAUCCCGGGGCUUAACUCCGGAACUGCGUCUGAAACUGCAUGACUAGAGCAUUGGAGAGGGUAGUGGAAUUCACGGUGUAGCAGUGAAAUGCGUAGAUAUCGUGAGGAACACCAGAGGCGAAGGCGACUACCUGGACAAUUGCUGACGCUCAGGCACGAAAGCAUGGGGAGCAAAAGGGAUUAGAUACCCCUGUAGUCCAUGCCCUAAACGGUGCACACUAGGUCUUGGAGGAUUCGACCCCUUCAGGGCCCAAGCUAACGCGUUAAGUGUGCCGCCUGAGGACUACGGUCGCAAGACUA